UGUACGGCUGUGCUCGGCUGGGGGGUAUUACGAGGGGUGGGGGAGUGAGUCGUGAUGUCGGUGCGUAAGGCUGGCGUAGGGGGUGGGGGCGGACAGACGGUAAGAGCCCGGGCUCAAGCUGGGAAAGGCGUGUGCGCCUGCCCGGUGCGAGGGGGGUAGAGGAUCGUGGAAUUCCGGGUGUAGCGGUGAAAUGCGUAGAGAUCCGGAGGAACACCGAUGGCGAAGGCAGCGAUCUGGGGCCACACUGACGCUGAGGCACGAAAGCGUGGGGAGCAAACAGGAUUAGAUACCCCAGUAGUC
rnacentral:rRNA from 1 species